GUACUACUCUCAGAGUUUGAUCCUGGCUCAGGAUGAACGCUAGCUACAGACUUAACACAUGCAAGUCGAGGGGCAGCACGGUGUAGCAAUACACUGGUGGCGACCGGCGCACGGGUGCGUAACGCGUAUCCAACUUUCCCGUUACUCUCGGAUAGCCUUCCGAAAGGGAGAUUAAUACGAGAUGGUGUCCAGUUUCCGCAUGUUUACUGAACUAAAGAUUCAUCGGUAACGGAUAGGGAUGCGUGACAUUAGAUAGUUGGCGGGGUAACGGCCCACCAAGUCUACGAUGUCUAGGGGUUCUGAGAGGAAGGUCCCCCACACUGGAACUGAGACACGGUCCAG
rnacentral:rRNA from 1 species